rnacentral:rRNA from 1 species
CGCUGGCGGCGUGCUUAACACAUGCAAGUCGAACGAAAGGACGGGAAGAGCUUGCUCUUUCCGGAAUUGAGUGGCAAACGGGUGAGUAACACGUAAACAACCUGCCUUCAGGAUGGGGACAACAGACGGAAACGACUGCUAAUACCGAAUAAGUUCCAAGAGCCGCAUGGCCCAUGGAAGAAAAGGUGGCCUCUACCUGUAAGCUAUCGCCUGAAGAGGGGUUUGCGUCUGAUUAGCUGGUUGGAGGGGUAACGGCCCACCAAGGCGACGAUCAGUAGCCGGUCUGAGAGGGUGACCGGCCACAUUGGGACUGAGACACGGCCCAGACUCCUACGGGAGGCAGCAGUGGGGAAUAUUGCACAAUGGAGGAAACUCUGAUGCAGCGACGCCGCGUGAGCGAAGAAGUAUUUCGGUAUGUAAAGCUCUGUCAGCAGGGAAGAUAAUGACGGUACCUGACCAAGAAGCCCCGGCUAACUACGUG